UUCCGAUGGGAAAUGUCUUGCGCGAUG
rnacentral:sRNA from 1 species